CGGUCACCGUUGCCCCUAUCCCGAGGGUCCUCCUAUGCACCGUGCCUGGCUUCACCGAGUUUGUAAGCUUCUCGCGCCGUCCCCCUCGUCUCUUAUCUUAUCUCGCUAUCCUUAGGCGCUUAUUUCGUUGUUUUUGUAGCCUUUUUUUUAUCGAAGAGCCACUGCCCCGAGGUAGUCCGCGGGGCAUACCCACGCCAUUGGUUCAAUUCCAGGCCCAAGACAGUCGUCCCUACGUGGUUCGGUUCUUCGCAGCCCUCCCUAGUUUCGCAUCGUCCGCGGGCGGAGUCCGAGUGUCGUCGGAGCCCCUGGUCUCACCCAUGCCUCCCCCACGGGCGAUCUAGGAGUUUCCUGCAACGGACGAGGUCGGCUAUGGGCUUCCUUGGCUGAUGCUCUUACCCAAAGGGGAUGUAUAUUUGGCGAAUCACUCCCUAGGAGCACCGGCCUCCCACGUCGAUUGUCAUCUGCGUGGGGUUGCGGUUCCUUCAUUGUCGAGCAAGCUCGCAUCCUGAGGAUGGGGAUGGUUUUUUCAGGGCAUCCGGGGUGCGUGGCCGUCUUGCGGCGAUUGUGAGAGCGUUUUAUUAUCCUUGAGUCUGGACAUGAGUUGUUCGGCAGUGGCCCAGCCUUUUGAGGAGGUGUGAAGCUCGUAACGCUGGGGAGCCAUGACAGCGGGGUCCGAGCUUAGUAGGACAGCAGGGACCGAGCAUCAUGCGACCAAGUCAAGGGAGGUCUCUCUAAGGUCCUAGGCGUACCUUUCCAAAGUGCGACCACUAGGUUUUGAUGUGGAGGGACCUUCGUCUGGGUUUCCAACAUAAGGUGAGGCUCGUGCUCUUUUAUCCUUGACUUAUAGCCCUUAGGGCCCCAACAUUUGUCUCACAGGGUUUCUUGUUUUUGUCACUAAUGGUGCUGAAGGAGGUUUCGCGUGAGGAGGAGCGCCUUCGGGCUCUUAACGCUGAGUGCUCCAGUUUGUCUCCGGCCAUCAACCUCAUAUGUUGUCAUCUCAGGGUUUCAAAGUCGGGGGAGAUGUCCGCACGAUCUCCUCGGAUGGCGCUAAUCUCUGGCUGCGUUCGUGAACUGGAUGCCAUCGCGCUACAGCUCGGGGUCCUGAUUGCUCCGGUCGCUACUCGGACUCUCGGCGAGGACUUGUUCAAGAAGGAUUGAGCUCGCCCGAACGCACCGGUGUUUGGUGGUUUGGCGAGCCCCGAGACCUGAGAGCGUUGGUGGGACCCGUCGUGCGGCGCUCGUCCUACAAUUGCCCAUUUUUUCGUGUUUCCUCAAGAGAAAAGGCAAAUGAUUUAAAUUCUUUCAGGAAAUUUGUACUAGCAGAAAUCUGUUUAAUAAACGUCGUCAGGGUUUUUCACGUCGCGCUUUGUGUUUCA
rnacentral:lncRNA from 1 species